rnacentral:rRNA from 1 species
UACGUAGGGUGCAAGCGUUAAUCGGAAUUACUGGGCGUAAAGCGUGCGCAGGCGGUUUUGUAAGUCUGUCGUGAAAUCCCCGGGCUCAACCUGGGAAUUGCGAUGGAGACUGCAAGGCUAGAAUCUGGCAGAGGGGGGUAGAAUUCCACGUGUAGCAGUGAAAUGCGUAGAGAUGUGGAGGAACACCGAUGGCGAAGGCAGCCCCCUGGGUCAAGAUUGACGCUCCAUGCAC